UGACAUUACUGUGACAGAAUGUACUCAUGUCCACACUCUGCGCGCUACUGUAAUAGUCUUUGCACAAAGUAUGCCUUGGGAGGUAUCAUUUAAAAAUUCAUUUGCUGAUCAAUAAUACCAUGGCAAAAUUCACAUAGCAGCGUUAUGUGUGAAGUUAUAAACAUAAGCUGAGAUCAUAAUUAAAAGUAUGUUUUCCAGAAAAGUCUGGGGAGUGGUCAAACCAGUUCCUCAGAGUGCCUCAGCUAGGUGUAAACAAGGUCAGUAGGUUAUUACCCGCUAAGUGGCCAUUCUUUGGCAGGAAAGGGAGAAGGGGGGAGGGGGAAAUCUACAUCUUAGCAAAGAAACAGUAUGGAGUUCCCUUCCAUACAGACUGCCUGUCGCCAUGCUCCCAGCUGGGACUGCUCAUCGAAGAGGGGACAGGAUUAUAAAAAGAAGGGGCAGACACCCCAGGGCAUCCCACCUCCUUCCUCUUAUUGUGUCCAUUAAUUCACUACAUGAGAAGGGAAAAGGAAGCACCAAUAACACAGAAGAAGGGGUCCUGGCCUAAGAAGUUUGGCCAGUAAGACUGCUGAGAACAUGUGGGCAGAGAAUUGAACCUGGAUCUCCAGAGUGCCAACCUAGCACCUUAACCAUUGGACCACCCUUCCUCUUUAAUGCAGCUGUGUAGUCUAGAUGAAAUUAGUGGGACUACCUGGGUGCACAAAGUUAACAUGAUUAAGCUUCUGUUCUGAAGAUUUUACAAGAAAGAUGGACUACAAGCUAUCAGGAACAGUAUCCCGGAUAAUGUCACAGCUAACCUGGUGGCUGAACUUUGUGACUUUGUCCUCACCCACAACUAUUUCACAUUUGGGGACAAUAUAUACCUUCAAGUCAGCGGCACUGCUAUGGGUACCCACAUGGCCCCACAGUAUGCCAACAUUUUUAUGGCUGACUUAGAACAACGCUUCCUUAGCUCUCGUCCCCUAAGGCCCCUACUCUACUUGCGCUACAUUGAUGACAUCUUCAUCUGGACCCAUGGAAAAGAAGCCCCUGAGGAAUUCCACCAUGAUUUCAAUAAUUUCCAUCCCACCAUCAACCUCAGCCUAGAUCAAUCCACACAAGCGGUCCAUUUCCUGGACACUACUGUGCUAA